rfam:Schistosoma mansoni strain Puerto Rico chromosome 6, complete genome
GCACUGCUGAGGAGUUCCACAAUAGGACGAAACGGCCUUCCGGUGA